AUGAACUUAACUUAGCGGCGGACGGGUGAGUAACGCGUGGACAACCUACCCUGUACAGGGGGAUAACAAUGGGAAACCAUUGCUAAUACCCCAUAACACCGAGAAGGGGCAUCCCUUUAAGGUCAAAGAAUUUCGGUACAGGAUGGGUCCGCGUCUGAUUAGCUAGUUGGUGAGGUAAUGGCUCACCAAGGCGACGAUCAGUAGCCGGCCUGAGAGGGUGAACGGCCACACUGGAACUGAGACACGGUCCAGACUCCUACGGGAGGCAGCAGUGGGGAAUAUUGCACUAUGGGCGAAAGCCUGAUGCAGCAACGCCGCGUGAGCGAUGAAGGCUUUCGGGUCGUAAAGCUCUGUCCUAAGGGAAGAUAAUGACGGUACCUUAGGAGGAAGCCCCGGCUAACUACGUGCCAGCAGCCGCGGUAAUACGUAGGGGGCAAGCGUUAUCCGGAAUCAUUGGGCGUAAAGGGUGCGUAGGCGGCCCUAUAGGUCAGAGGUCAAAGGCUACGGCUCAACCGUAGUAAGCCUUUGAAACUGUAGGGCUUGAGUGCAGGAGAGGAGAGUGGAAUUCCUAGUGUAGCGGUGAAAUGCGUAGAUAUUAGGAGGAACACCAGUGGCGAAGGCGACUCUCUGGACUGCAACUGACGCUGAGGCACGAAAGCGUGGGGAGCGAACAGGAUUAGAUACCCUGGUAGUCCACGCCGUAAACGAUGAGUGCUAGGUGUCGGGGGUCGAACCUCGGUGCCGCAGCUAACGCAUUAAGCACUCCGCCUGGGGAGUACGUUCGCAAGAAUGAAACUCAAAGGAAUUGACGGGGACCCGCACAAGCAGCGGAGCAUGUGGUUUAAUUCGAAGCAACGCGAAGAACCUUACCUGGACUUGACAUCCCUCGGACCGCUUUUUAACCAAAGCCUUCCCUUCGGGGACUGAGGUGACAGGUGGUGCAUGGUUGUCGUCAGCUC
rnacentral:rRNA from 1 species